rnacentral:rRNA from 1 species
AUGACGGUGGAGAAGGUCGACGCGACGGUGGCCGACUUCGACGGCCACUUCGAAAAGCUCUUCGCCGGCGACGAUGGCGGCAAGCUGAAGCUGCUGCUCUUCCUCGCCGACCGGGAGCCGUCCUCCUCCCUCACCUGGUGCCCCGACUGCAACGUGGCGGAGCCGGUGAUCUACGAGAAGCUGGAGUCGGUGGGCAAGGACGUGGUGCUCCUGCGCGCGUUCGUCGGCGACAAGCCCACGUGGAGGGACCCGGCCCACCCGUGGAGGGUGGACCCGCGGUUCGCGCUCAAGGGCGUGCCGACGCUGCUGCGGUGGGACAAGGGCGCCGCCGCGGGGCGCCUCGAGGACGACGAGGCCAACGUCGGGGACAAGAUCGACGCCCUGCUCAAUUGA